CAGCCGCCGCGGUAAUACGAAGGGUGCAAGCGUUACUCGGAAUUACUGGGCGUAAAGCGUGCGUAGGUGGUGGUUUAAGUCCGUUGUGAAAGCCCUGGGCUCAACCUGGGAGUUGCAGUGGAUACUGGGUCACUAGAGUGUGGUAGAGGAUAGUGGAAUUUCCGGUGUAGCAGUGAAAUGCGUAGAGAUCGGAAGGAACAUCUGUGGCGAAGGCGACUAUCUGGGCCAACACUGACACUGAGGCACGAAAGCGUGGGGAGCAAACAGGAUUAGAUACCCCCGUAGUCCCUGUCUCUUAUAC
rnacentral:rRNA from 1 species